AAAACAACCCUACGGGAGGCAGCGGUAGGGAAUCUUCCGCAAUGGGCGAAAGCCUGACGGAGCAACGCCGCGUGAGUGAAGAAGGUUUUCGGAUCGUAAAGCUCUGUUGCCAGGGAAGAACGCUAUGGAGAGUAACUGCUCCAUAGGUGACGGUACCUGAGAAGAAAGCCCCGGCUAACUACGUGCCAGCAGCCGCGGUAAUACGUAGGGGGCAAGCGUUGUCCGGAAUUAUUGGGCGUAAAGCGCGCGCAGGCGGCUAAUUAAGUCUGGUGUUUAAUCCCGGAGCUCAACUCCGGGUCGCACGGGAAACUGGUUGGCUUGAGUACAGAAGAGGAAAGUG
rnacentral:rRNA from 1 species